CUCCUACGGGAGGCAGCAGUGGGGAAUAUYGCACAAUGGGCGAAAGCCUGAUGCAGCAACGCCGCGUGAGGGACGACGGCCUUCGGGUUGUAAACCUCUUUUAGUAGGGAAGAAGCGAAAGUGACGGUACCUGCAGAAAAAGCACCGGCUAACUACGUGCCAGCAGCCGCGGUAAUACGUAGGGUGCAAGCGUUGUCCGGAAUUAUUGGGCGUAAAGAGCUCGUAGGCGGUUUGUCGCGUCUGCUGUGAAAACCCGAGGCUCAACCUCGGGCCUGCAGUGGGUACGGGCAGACUAGAGUGCGGUAGGGGAGAUUGGAAUUCCUGGUGUAGCGGUGGAAUGCGCAGAUAUCAGGAGGAACACCAAUGGCGAAGGCAGAUCUCUGGGCCGUAACUGACGCUGAGGAGCGAAAGCAUGGGGAGCGAACAGGAUUAGAUACCCUGGUAGUCCAUGCCGUAAACGUUGGGAACUAGAUGUGGGGACCAUUCCACGGUCUCCGUGUCGCAGCUAACGCAUUAAGUUCCCCGCCUGGGGAGUACGGCCGCAAGGCUAAAACUCAAAUGAAUUGACGA
rnacentral:rRNA from 1 species